CCCCUAGAUGUUCUGGGCCACACGCGCGCUACACUGAACAGUUCAACAAGUCUUAACCUUGGCCGAUAGGUCUGGGUAAUCUUUGAACGCUGUUCGUGAUUGGGAUAGACCUUUGCAAUUAUGGGUCUUCAACGAGGAAUUCCUAGUAAACGCAAGUCAUCAACUUGCAUUGAUUACGUCCCUGCCCUUUGUACACACCGCCCGUCGCACCUACCGAUUGAAUGGUCCGGUGAAGCCUCCGGAUUGGCGCGCACCUCGGUGCCGCCGAGAAGUUGGCUAAACCUUACCAUUUAGAGGAAGGUGAAGUCGUAACA
rnacentral:rRNA from 1 species